GAUGAACGCUGGCGGCGUGCCUAAUACAUGCAAGUCGAGCGAACAGACGAGGAGCUUGCUCCUCUGACGUUAGCGGCGGACGGGUGAGUAACACGUGGAUAACCUACCUAUAAGACUGGGAUAACUUCGGGAAACCGGAGCUAAUACCGGAUAAUAUAUUGAACCGCAUGGUUCAAUAGUGAAAGACGGUUUUGCUGUCACUUAUAGAUGGAUCCGCGCCGCAUUAGCUAGUUGGUAAGGUAACGGCUUAUCAAGGCAACGAUGCGUAGCCGACCUGAGAGGGUGAUCGGCCACACUGGAACUGAGACACGGUCCAGACUCCUACGGGAGGCAGCAGUAGGGAAUCUUCCGCAAUGGGCGAAAGCCUGACGGAGCAACGCCGCGUGAGUGAUGAAGGUCUUCGGAUCGUAAAACUCUGUUAUUAGGGAAGAACAAAUGUGUAAGUAACUAUGCACGUCUUGACGGUACCUAAUCAGAAAGCCAUGGCUAACUACGUG
rnacentral:rRNA from 1 species